UGUGUUUAUAUAGCCAAUAAUCGUAUAACGCCGGGGAUAGGGCCCGGCAGUUUCUACCUGAAAACCGUAAAUUUUCGGACUACGAGGGCUGAUCAUGGAUGC
rnacentral:ncRNA from 1 species